UACAGAGGGGGCAAGCGUUGUUCGGAAUUACUGGGCGUAAAGGGCGCGUAGGCGGCCUCUUAAGUCGAACGUGAAAUCCCCGGGCUCAACCCGGGAACUGCGUCCGAUACUGGGAGGCUUGAAUCCGGGAGAGGGAUGUGGAAUUCCAGGUGUAGCGGUGAAAUGCGUAGAUAUCUGGAGGAACACCGGUGGCGAAGGCGGGUCUCUGGGCCGAUACUGACGCUGAGGAGCGAAAGCGUGGGGAGCGAACAGG
rnacentral:rRNA from 1 species